rnacentral:rRNA from 1 species
GACGAACGCUGGCGGCGUGCUUAACACAUGCAAGUCGAACGGAAAGGCCCCUUUGGGGGUACUCGAGUGGCGAACGGGUGAGUAACACGUGAGUAACCUGCCCUUGACUUCGGGAUAACUUCAGGAAACUGGGGCUAAUACCGGAUAGGAAUCCUUGCUGCAUGGUGGGGGUUGGAAAGCUUCGGCGGUUUUGGAUGGACUCGCGGCUUAUCAGCUUGUUGGUGGGGUAGUGGCUUACCAAGGCUUUGACGGGUAGCCGGCCUGAGAGGGCGACCGGCCACAUUGGGACUGAGAUACGGCCCAGACUCCUACGGGAGGCAGCAGUGGGGAAUAUUGCACAAUGGGCGGAAGCCUGAUGCAGCAACGCCGCGUGCGGGAUGACGGCCUUCGGGUUGUAAACCGCUUUCAGCAGGGGCGAAGCUUGUGGUGACGGUACCUGCAGAAGAAGCACCGGCGAACUACGU